CCCCCCCCCCCCGCCUCCCCAAACUCACCUCAGUUGCCAACAGCCUCCUGGUGCCUGUUGGACCAUCCCUUGCUGGUUCUUCAUUUCCUGUGGGCCUAGUUUCCAGGGGCUGAGUGACCAGGGUCUUAAAACAGGUUUAAGGCUUGGCUUGCUGGCCCUGGAGAUCCCGUCGCCGUCUUCGUCGAACUCGAAAUCCUAGCCAUCGUCCUUCCCUGGCCUGUCGCGUCUUCCUGUGCCAUUUGCUGUUGUGCUCAGGUUCCACGAGCUGCCCAUCUCCACAGAAGAGCAGCUGGCAUUGCCCACCGGCCAUGCCGGCUGAAGAAAAGAAGACUGAGGACCCCAGGAUGCCCAGCGCGAGGACCCCAGGAAGCCCAGCGCGAGGACUCCACCCACGACGCCCAGCGCGAGGACUUCACGCACAACACGUUGCAACCCUCCUGGAUUAGGCCAAAGCCAUCAUCUGGAAUCCUGCGUGGGACCCUGGACACACGGACACAGACACCUGCCCCCAGGACCCUCCAACUGUAAAUCCCUCUACAGCCACGGGGACGCCUUGCACAUUUCCUGUGGGACAUGCUGGACCCAAGACUCUGGACCCUGGCCUCCCCUUGAGUAGAGAGACCCACCUACUGACUGAUGAACUGCGCUGACCCUGGGGUCAGGCAUGUGGCCUUGAUCCCUACCCAUGGACCCUGAGACUUGGGGGGGUGGGAGAAAGGCUGUUGUGUCUUCACUGUUGAGUCUACAUCUGUGAAAUGGGCUCAGGUUCCUACCUCACAGGGCUGUUGUGAGGCAGCCGCAAUGUGCUUAGAAGCAUGGGGCCUAGUGGCUCAUGGUGCUUUCAAUAAAUUUCUUGUUUUAACUAAAGCA
rnacentral:lncRNA from 1 species